CGGAGCUCCGGUUCUUUGUCUCAGCACAGAAAGAAGUCAGCUAGAGGCAAAGUGAUAGAAGGAGCACAAGAAUGGAGGUAACGCUGGCACCAAGCCUCACCAAGAAAAUGAUGACAACAGCAGCAGUGCCAUGAGUCAAAGGGACAGGAUUCCACACGGCCACAUUUUUACAUCCAUUAAGGUUAGAGAUUCUGAAUCAAAAGAGCACAUUGAAACCCUACAUUAAGAAAUAGCCUUUUCACUGUAGUAAAAGUUAGUGACCUCAUCGCGAAACCUGGGGGCUUCGGUAGCAAAGGACUACAAGAAUAGUUAAAAUUCCUUUUUAUUAAGUAAACUGCUUACACUUACAAGUUGAAUAUGCAAACGUUAGUAAGACACAGAAACAUUUCCGAUUCUCUCGGCAUGAAGAAUUGGCAUCUGGACUGCGGCUAGUUACAAGAAUAAGGUUUAAAACUUUAAAUAGUAGAAAGUUUAAAUAGUAGAAAGAGUGUUAGUAUGCUUUCAACUGGGAGAAAUAGGGUGGGAAAAGGUCAGAACAAGAGAAGAUGUAGAUUUGCCCAAAGGCUGUGGACCAGCUCCCCUACCUCCACCCUAUCUAAGAUUUUCCCCAAGAAGCAUCUCUCAGAUAUAUUGGUGAGGAGCCAGGUCCCUCAAGGUCCCAGAGACCCACAGUUACUGGGUGGGAGGACGUGGGACAAGUUCAUCCCCACUGCCAUAUCCAAUUUGUACGGUUCUCUAUCCAGGGUGACUCCCCAUGAAAGCCCAAGACAAUAGAAAGGGAGAGGACUUGGAUUUCCAAACAACUUGCUAGAUUCCAGAUCACUGCCCUUGGCUGAAAUUAUUUGAACUUGAGGCAGCAACCGUGUUCACUUCUGUAGCUCAGGAGACCUUUGAUUUAUUAAAUGACUCACAAAUGGGGAAAGGUGGAGAUUUGGAAGAUACCCAUAGUUUUGGAGUCAGAGAUAGCACGGCCUAAACCUGGGUUUCCCAACCUC